CCCUUAGAUGUUCUGGGCUGCACGCGCGCUACAAUGGCGUUUUCAAAAAGAUUGCUAAUCCGAAAGGACCAGCGGAUCUUCGAAGUGGCGUCGUGAUCGGGACAGUUGAUUGCAAUUAUUCGACUCGAACGAGGAAUUCCUUGUAAUCGUGCGUCAUCAGCGCACGCUGAAUACGUCCCUGUUCUUUGUACACACCGUCCGUCGCUCCUACCGAUCGAGCGAUCCAAUGAAUGUUUCGGAGCGGAACUGAGAUGCUAAUGCGUCUCUUUUACGCGAAUUUGUGUGAAUUUGAUCGCUUAGAGGAAGGAGAAGUCGUAACA
rnacentral:rRNA from 1 species